UACAGAGGGGGCAAGCGUUGUUCGGAAUUACUGGGCGUAAAGGGCGCGUAGGCGGCCUGUUAAGUCGAACGUGAAAUCCCCGGGCUCAACCCGGGAACUGCGUCCGAUACUGGCAGGCUUGAAUCCGGGGAGAGGGAUGCGGAAUUCCAGGUGUAGCGGUGAAAUGCGUAGAUAUCUGGAGGAACACCGGUGGCGAAGGCGGCAUCCUGGACCAAUACUGACGCUGAGGAGCGAAAGCCAGGGGAGCAAAACGGGG
rnacentral:rRNA from 1 species